rnacentral:rRNA from 1 species
AGUGAACGCUGGCGGUAGGCCUAACACAUGCAAGUCGAACGGCAGCACGGUAAGAGCUUGCUCUUACGGGUGGCGAGUGGCGGACGGGUGAGGAAUACAUCGGAAUCUACUUUUUCGUGGGGGAUAACGUAGGGAAACUUACGCUAAUACCGCAUACGACCUACGGGUGAAAGCAGGGGAUCUUCGGACCUUGCGCGAUUGAAUGAGCCGAUGUCGGAUUAGCUAGUUGGCGGGGUAAAGGCCCACCAAGGCGACGAUCCGUAGCUGGUCUGAGAGGAUGAUCAGCCACACUGGAACUGAGGCACGGUCCAGACUCCUACGGGAGGCAGCAGUGGGGAAGAUUGGACAAUGGGCGCAAGCCUGAUCCAGCCAUACUGCGUGGGUGAAGAAGGCCUUCGGGUUGUAAAGCCCUUUUGUUGGGAAAGAAAAGCAGCAGGUUAAUACCCCGCUGUUCUGACGGUACCCAAAGAAUAAGCACCGGCUAACUUCGUG